rnacentral:rRNA from 1 species
CUACGGGCUGCACCAGUGGGGAAUAUUGCACAAUGGAGGAAACUCUGAUGCAGCAACGCCGCGUGGAGGAUGACACUUUUCGGAGCGUAAACUCCUUUUAUAUAGGAAGAAGAUGACGGUACUAUAUGAAUAAGCGCCGGCUAACUCCGUGCCAGCAGCCGCGGUAAUACGGAGAGCGCAAGCGUUAAUCGGAAUCACUGGGCGUAAAGAGCGUGUAGGCGGAUUAAAAAGUCAGAAGUGAAAUCCUAUAGCUUAACUAUAGAACUGCUUCUGAAACUCUUAAUCUAGAAUAUGGGAGAGGUAGAUGGAAUUUCUGGUGUAGGGGUAAAAUCCGUAGAGAUCAGAAGGAAUACCGAUUGCGAAGGCGAUCUACUAGAACAUUAUUGACGCUGAGACGCGAAAGCGUGGGGAGCAAACAGGAUUAGAUACCCCUGAGUC